UACUAAGACAGUAAUGCUUAUAAGAAGCAAG
rnacentral:piRNA from 1 species